GAGGCUAUGGCUUGGUGGUAGGACAUCUACUUGGGAUGCAGAAGAUCCCAGGUUCAAUUCCCAGCAUCUUCA
rnacentral:tRNA from 1 species